CGACCACAUUACGUUGAAACACCGGCUCCCCUUCGGUCUCCGAAGUUAAACAAUAUCGAGCCUGGUCAGUACCUAGAUAGUUAACUUUUUGGGAAUAUGAGGC